UCAAAGAGAGCAACGUUAUCUGGUAUCCAAACCAGUAUAGUUUCACAUUCAGUUUUGGUUUUAAUUUCUCUGUUUGAUUGUUUUGCUCUUUUUCCUUUAUCAGUGACUGCAGCGAGAAUAUAAAAUCUUGAUUUUUGUAAUUGUCCACUAUUGGAGCAUAUCGAAAACAUAACAGGACAAAGAGUAGAGAAUAUAUUUAUGUAAACAGUGGGACAAUCAGAAAGUCUUUUCUGACCACACCGCUCUGGCCACGGAUGUUCAUUUUGGCCAAUACGCACACUUCAUCGCCUCGGUUAGUAUGGACAGGACACUAAAAAUUUACGGCAUAUGAUGUCAAGAAUAAUGAACAUAAAAAACUAGGUUAGACUGCGUCGUCACAGCCAAAAUGUUUACAUGAAUUAAUACACCUUUCUGUUAUGUAACGUCGUCAUUAUGCAAGUUUUUGUGAAAUUUAUAAUAAAUCCAUUUAUUAAAAAAUAAAAGCUCUUUCUUAUAAUUUAAUUGUUUUAUUCUUUAAAAAGUAAUCUUAUUUGAUAUUAAACAAUUUGAAUAUUUU